rnacentral:rRNA from 1 species
GACGAACGCUGGCGGCGUGCUUAACACAUGCAAGUCGAACGGUAAGGCCCUUCGGGGUACACGAGUGGCGAACGGGUGAGUAACACGUGGGUGAUCUGCCCUGCACUUCGGGAUACGCCUGGGAAACUGGGUCUAAUACCGGAUAGGACCACUGCCUGCAUGGGUGGUGGUGGAAAGCUUUUGCGGUGUGGGAUGGGCCCGCGGCCUAUCAGCUUGUUGGUGGGGUGAUGGCCUACCAAGGCGACGACGGGUAGCCGGCCUGAGAGGGUGACCGGCCACACUGGGACUGAGAUACGGCCCAGACUCCUACGGGAGGCAGCAGUGGGGAAUAUUGCACAAUGGGCGCAAGCCUGAUGCUGCGACGCCGCGUGAGGGAUGACGGCCUUCGGGUUGUAAACCUCUUUCAGCACCGACGAGGCGCAAGUGACGGUGGGUGCAGAAGAAGGACCGGCCAACUACGUGCCAGCCGCCGCGGUAAGAC